CCUACGGGAGGCAGCAGUGAGGAAUAUUGGUCAAUGGGCGCGAGCCUGAACCAGCCAAGUAGCGUGAAGGAUGACUGCCCUACGGGUUGUAAACUUCUUUUAUAAAGGAAUAAAGUGAGGCACGUGUGCCUUUUUGUAUGUACUUUAUGAAUAAGGAUCGGCUAACUCCGUGCCAUCAGCCGCGGUAAUACGGAGGAUCCGAGCGUUCUCCGGAUUUAUUGGGUUUAAAGGGAGCGUAGAUGGGUUGUUAAGUCAGUUGUGAAAGUUUGCGGCUCAACCGUAAAAUUGCAAUUGAUACUGGCAGUCUUGAGUACAGUUGAGGUAGGCGGAAUUCGUGGUGUAGCGGUGAAAUGCUUAGAUAUCACGAAGAACUCCGAUUGCGAAGGCAGCUUACUAAACUGCCACUGACAUUGAUGCUCGAAAGUGUGGGUAUCAAACAGGAUUAGAUACCCUUGUAGUC
rnacentral:rRNA from 1 species